UACGUAGGGUGCAAGCGUUGUCCGGAAUUAUUGGGCGUAAAGAGCUCGUAGGCGGUUCGUCGCGUCGGCUGUGAAAACCCGGAGCUCAACUCCGGGCCUGCAGUCGAUACGGGCGGACUUGAGUGUUGCAGGGGAGACUGGAAUUCCUGGUGUAGCGGUGAAAUGCGCAGAUAUCAGGAGGAACACCGGUGGCGAAGGCGGGGUCUCUGGGCAACUACUGACGCUGAGGAGCGAAAGCGUGGGGAGCGAACAGG
rnacentral:rRNA from 1 species